rnacentral:rRNA from 1 species
UAAGCAUAUCAAUAAGCGGAGGAAAAGAAACCAACAGGGAUUGCCCUAGUAACGGCGAGUGAAGCGGCAACAGCUCAAAUUUGAAAUCUGGCGUCUUCGGCGUCCGAGUUGUAAUUUGCAGAGGGCGCUUUGGCAUUGGCAGCGGUCCAAGUUCCUUGGAACAGGACGUCACAGAGGGUGAGAAUCCCGUACGUGGUCGCUAGCCUUUACCGUGUAAAGCCCCUUCGACGAGUCGAGUUGUUUGGGAAUGCAGCUCUAAAUGGGAGGUAAAUUUCUUCUAAAGCUAAAUACUGGCCAGAGACCGAUAGCGCACAAGUAGAGUGAUCGAAAGAUGAAAAGCACUUUGGAAAGAGAGUUAAAAAGCACGUGAAAUUGUUGAAAGGGAAGCGCUUGCAGCCAGACUUGCCUGUAGUUGCUCAUCCGGGUUUCUACCCGGUGCACUCUUCUAUAGGCAGGCCAGCAUCAGUUUGGGCGGUUGGAUAAAGGUCUCUGUCAUGUACCUCCUUUCGGGGAGAUCUUAUAGGGGAGACGACAUGCAACCAGCCUGGACUGAGGUCCGCGCAUCUGCUAGGAUGCUGGCGUAAUGGCUGUAAGCGGCCCGUCUUGAAACACGGACCAAGGAGUCUAACAUCUAUGCGAGUGUUUGGGUGUCAAGCCCGAACGCGUAAUGAAAGUGAACGGAGGUGGGAACCUUUCGGGGUGCACCAUCGACCGAUCCUGAUGUCUUCGGAUGGAUUUGAGUAAGAGCAUAGCUGUUGGGACCCGAAAGAUGGUGAACUAUGCUUGAAUAGGGUGAAGCCAGAGGAAACUCUGGUGGAGGCUCGCAGCGGUUCUGACGUGCAAAUCGAUCGUCA